rnacentral:rRNA from 1 species
AUUGAACGCUGGCGGCAGGCCUAACACAUGCAAGUCGAGCGGAUGAAGGGAGCUUGCUCCUGGAUUCAGCGGCGGACGGGUGAGUAAUGCCUAGGAAUCUGCCUGGUAGUGGGGGAUAACGUCCGGAAACGGGCGCUAAUACCGCAUACGUCCUGAGGGAGAAAGUGGGGGAUCUUCGGACCUCACGCUAUCAGAUGAGCCUAGGUCGGAUUAGCUAGUUGGUGGGGUAAAGGCCUACCAAGGCGACAAUCCGUAACUGGUCUGAGAGGAUGAUCAGUCACACUGGAACUGAGGCACGGUCCAGACUCCUACGGGAGGCAGCAGUGGGGAAUAUUGGACAAUGGGCGAAAGCCUGAUCCAGCCAUGCCGCGUGUGUGAAGAAGGUCUUCGGAUUGUAAAGCACUUUAAGUUGGGAGGAAGGGCAGUAAGUUAAUACCUUGCUGUUUUGACGUUACCAACAGAAUAAGCACCGGCUAACUUCGUG